GCCUGGGUGGCUCAGUGGUUAAGCGUCUGACUCUUGACUUCAGGUCAGGUCAUGAUCUCACAGUUUGUGGGUUUGAGCCCCACAUCGGGCU
rnacentral:tRNA from 1 species